rnacentral:rRNA from 1 species
GACGAACGCUGGCGGCGUGCUUAACACAUGCAAGUCGAACGGAAAGGCCCUGCUUGCAGGGUGCUCGAGUGGCGAACGGGUGAGUAACACGUGGGUGAUCUGCCCCUUACUUUGGGAUAAGCCUGGGAAACUGGGUCUAAUACUGGCUAGGACCAUGCUGUAGGUGGUGUGGUGGAAAGAUUAGUUUCGGUAAGGGAUGAGCUCGCGGCCUAUCAGCUUGUUGGUGGGGUAAUGGCCUACCAAGGCGUCGACGGGUAGCCGGCCUGAGAGGGUGGACGGCCACAUUGGGACUGAGAUACGGCCCAGACUCCUACGGGAGGCAGCAGUGGGGAAUAGUGCACAAUGGGCGCAAGCCUGAUGCAGCGACGCCGCGUGGGGGAUGACGGCCUUCGGGUUGUAAACUCCUUUCAGCCAUGACGAAGCCCUUGUGGUGACGGUAGUGGUAGAAGAAGCACCGGCUAACUACGUG